ACAACUUCUAACGGUGGACACCUCGGCUCGUGUACCGAUGAAGAGCGCAGCAAGCUGCGAUACCUAGUGUGAAUUGCAGAAUUCAGUGAAUCAUCGAGUUCUUGAACGCAAAUGGCGCUUUCGGUAAGGCCGGGAGCACGUCUGCCUGAGCG
rnacentral:rRNA from 1 species